rnacentral:lncRNA from 1 species
CCCGCUUUUAUAAUGAUAGAUUCCGCAUUCUGUGUAGCUUCAGGAGGUUUUCUGUGUAUCCUUGCAGCCGUUUGUGCAACUCCGAGCUCACCAAACUGACAACAAAUGCAUCCGAUUUGCUUUGCUGCUCUAUUUCGAAGACCCACACCUUGAAAUCAACUUCAAUUCUAUCCAGUCUGCGUUUCUUACAAGAAAUACUGCAAAGGCUCCAACGUCUAUGCAAUCAAAGUUUGUGUCACAUUAUUGCAAUCUUCAGCAACAACUUGCAAUAAUUCCAACAACCAAAUAUACACAAAAAUAGCUAAUAUUUCUAACCUAUCUUUUAUAAAAAAGACAAUAUUUUCUAUUUUUUUUAACUGUACAUUUAAUUUUUUAAAUUAAGCUUACAAAAAAUUCUAAAUUUUACAAAUAAAUGUAUUGCGGGUUUGCAACAACUUUGUAACAAUUAUUUCUUCUAUU